UUCCCAACUAUGUGAUUUUGUUGUAAGUUCGUACUGAUGUCUAGUGGAAGCAUUGAAAUAACUUAUCUGUUAUGACUAAGUAUUUACAAUUACAUCUUGUUGCCUCCGUUUGCACGCGUUCCAGAUACGUUAGGGGAUUGCAGAACGAUAGAAAUCUCUCCUCUUCAACUCGCAGUAGAAUUUAAAACCCAUUGUCCUCGAUUACUUGUUGCGCAUAUUCUGAUGAUUCCUCCUAGAUUUCGGCACUCUUCGCCUCCCUUUGGUGCUUAGCAAGUUAGUUCUACCUUAACAUAUGUCUGUCUACCUGUCCCGUCUUGUGCACGGGGUUUUCCACAGUAAUAUUCCUUUACUCGCCAACUCUGUAGAUAAUUUCCAUGUUUCUUCUCUUACCAAUUCCCUUAAGUUUCAACCUGCAUCUAGAACAUUACAUUUUAAACUCUUCGAUUAUCUUCUUUUCGGGUUCUCGCAAAGUGUAUGAUUACUUGCAUUCAGUGUUGUCCUCUCGAUGUACAUUCUCAAAAAUUAGUUAAGGAUAUCUGCUUCUGUAUCGGCUUAAUCAGGAUGUAAAGAUACACUACAGAUGUUAGGUUUACGAACACAGUUAAUUAUACGGUACGGAAGGGCAGCUUUCACGUAAGAGGUUUAGACUACCAUGGUAUAUUUGCUCACUUAAGACUAUGAACAGAAGCCUCUGAAAGCGUUAUCUUGUAGUGCGGCUAGAAUUGUUUUGACAAGUGAAGCGUAUAAUUGAAUCAUCAAGCAGUAUCACGAGCGUAGCAUGACCACAGUUACAGACACACCCACAAGCUGCAGACCUGAAAAGAUGCCUAGAAAGGAUUUAACUUACAUAUCUAAGUAAUGGUCUCAGCAUUCUUCGGCAGGAAACUGCCAGUUUUGAGGAAAGGAAAAGCUCUGGGUGGAAACCAAAGACUGCUGUUAACGUAACCUUUCGACGAAAAGUGUGUCCCUUUUCCUCAUUAGGUAUAAAGGAUGAAUUUCUUCGCUGCAGCCAUUUACCUGAAGAAGACGUCUAUAUCGCUCCAAUGAAUAAAAAAGCUGUUCACUUUGCUGUGGCUACCGAUGUUUUAAAUGUACAAACUUCAUUAUUUAACAACAGAAGACGGUAAAUAUUGAGGGUUUUUAAAGGUACAGACAGGCAAUCAACACAGAAGGAGCCAACACAUCAUUCCAGAAGAAAAUGAACAAUGAAGAUUCUGAACGCUACAGGUUGUGGAAACAGCACAAAGGGUGCUCGCUGCUGAGGACUCCGAGACAUCGAUGGACGGUGGACGAUUCGUCGCGAUCACCUGAGUAUUAAGUACGUUGUGUCUUCACACUCCGGACUCCGCUCUACGAUCUACUGGCGAACAAAACACGCUCGUAUGGAGAUUCUCAGUGCAACUGAGUGUCUUUGGUUACAUGAAUGGUUUCAGGCGGACUUUCACAACCAGUUAAGGAGAAUGAGGGGCAGCCAUCGACGCAAUUCUGAAAAUGGUUGCUGUAAUACUGGCGGCGUCGCAUCAGUACGGUAGGCAACGUAGUCCCCUCUGCAGUGGACUAGUUCGCUACAUGCUGUAACAGAUCGCAGCGUUUCCUCCAGGAGACACCAUGCCGGAGUGAGCAACAUUCCUUCAACGCCGUGCAUUCGACCGGUAGAGUCCUCGCGACGGACAUCGGUCGAAUGUGCAGCUACGUAACUGCUGACUCAACGAGCUGCGUCAGCAGCCAUGCAGCCGAUGAUCUACGAGCCGUCAGCUAGUCCUGGUGCUUUCGAGCUUCGAACUGGAUCCGCCAAGGCGAGGCCACACGCUGGUUGCCAUCUCCUUGCACCCCAGCCGCUCUACGAUGCUCCCGGGUUCAGGUGGGGCGCCGGUAGUUCCUGCUAGCCUCCUAGGGCCAUGUGGAGUUCGCACUAGCCCAGCCACCAACUGAGCUGAAACAUGGUAUCCGUCACCAAGGGCGCCGUCGACCCAGCCGCUAUAACGCUGUCAACAGCAUUCCUCUGACUCAGCGUACGUCACUCGCUGCCCGCUAGCUACAGUCGGAGUAAACAUUCCCGACUCCAAGCUCGCCACGGUACUGCAGAUCCCAUCACACAGCUUCCCGUACAAGCCACUCUGGAGCCGGAAGUGGCCAACACUGCUA